GUGUGUGCGUAUGAACGAUCAGGAGAAAGGGAGAGAAGGGGUGCAAGCCCUAAUUCAUGAAAAAUCUUCAAAUUGAAGGGAAAUUAAGCUCAAAUCCGAUGCAUGAACUCGUUUUCUUGAUGAUCUAACCCUAGCAAACAUGUGGCAUGAAUACUAACAUUAUUACGGCAUGACAACAUGAAAGAAUUGGAACCACACAAGCAUGGACCAAGCAUGGAAGGAUAACGGGUCAAGAUGAGGCAAGGAAGCGGUUACGAGCACGGAUGCACAAGGUAAGUGACUUCCGACUCACUUCUUAGUAUGCAUAUAGAUUUCAUGUUCAUGAGUGCGGGAAAUUAUGUAAGAUUAUGCAAUGAUGAAAGUUUCAAGAUAAGUAUUGAUCUAGUUUAGACGAGGAAAGUUAUCUAAGUCGAAGGAUUUUUGAUGAGGUUAAACGGGUCAAAAUAAGCUUUAAGCGAAAGUGUGUUAAGAGGAUGCAAGACAUCUAAGAAUUUGAUCCUUUAUGAUAAACAACGUUGAAAUUAUAAGGUUCAUGAGGAAUCGAGGUCAAAUAAUCAGAUUAUGUUGAUAAAAGCAUGAACGGGUCAAAACUUGGUAAAAAGGUAAUAAGUCGAUAGCUUAAAAGAUUCGAAUUUUGUUAAUCUGGAUGUCGAAUGUUAACUCCAUGAGAUGGGGAAUUUAAUUACGGUCGCGUAGGAAAAAGAAUCGAGUGAAACGGGUGCAAAACGAGCAAGCUAUGCGAGUUUUAGCAUUUUUGAAUGAUAGCUGAUCUGGGUGCUACCGUAACUUACGGUAGCUACCGUAAGUUACGGUAGGCUCUGAAGCCAUUUUUCUACCGUAAAGCAGUAGGUUGUCACCGUAAGGAAUUGGUGGCGCACGGUCGUGCGCUUGGCCGCACGGUCGUGCAUAUCCGAGUAAAUCAAUGCACGGGCUUGUGCACUACCAGUGCCCCCGACGUCGUAGGUACCGCACGGUCAUGCGGUUGGACGCACGGCCAUGCGUCAGCUGCAAGUUCAUUAAAAUGUGCAGAAUUCGUCCAAAUCAGUCCCAUAGCCCAUAGGGUGUCCCAAAAUGUAAUCUAACUUAUUGUAAAGUGUUUAUGAGCUGCAAUGAGCGUGUGCGCAGGCAUGAAAUGGAGCAAGAUAAGUAUAGAGGCAUAUGUAAGUUUAUGGAGGUACGUAUGUGAUUAGGCAUGUAUGAGUUAGGUAUGCUACUAGCAGGAAUGUAUAUUUGUAUAUAUGUAUAAUGUCGGAAGUGUACGCAAUGAUGGAGGUAUGGGUGUAUGUAGAUACGCAUGAAGUGACAUAGAUGUGUUUAUAUAAGGGUACGAACGUAUGUAUGUAAUUGGUUAUGUGUGAUUAUUUAAUUAUGUACAAGUAUGUAAGAAAAUAGCUACGCAUGUACCCAAUGAAAUUAGUGCUAACGAUAUUAAUAGUAUGCCUGGUGAAUGAAGUGGAACGCAGGAUUAGCAAGGAAGUCUCACCGGGGAUCAUAUGAUCAAAUGGAAAGCUGGAACGUAAAGAACUAAUGGAACAAAGAGUAAACGUGAAUAAAUCUUGUGUGUUUAUGAUGCGUGCUAAUGUUAUGACUUUAUGUGGUGAGCGCAGGUAGUACGAAACACGAGGAUCAUCAAGGGAUAGAGAUCAAGGACCGAGUCACAUGAAGGAUUGUAUGGGGUGUAUAAGAAUGUAAUUUGUUAUAUAUAAGUUAUGUUUUAUUCUAUAAUUGAGUUAGUUUGAUGUAUUCAAUAUAGAGGAGUUAUUUUAAAAGUGAACUUUCAUGUAAGACAUAAGGUUUAUAAUGAAAGAAAUUU
rnacentral:lncRNA from 1 species